rnacentral:tRNA from 1 species
AGGGAAGUAGUUCAAUUGGUAGAGCAGCGGUCUCCAAAACCGCGUGUUGGGGGUUCGAGUCCCUCCUUCCCUG